UUAUUAUAUGAUAUUACAACAGCUAAUUUUCAUAAAACAGGAAAUUAAAUUCCAGGUCAACUGGAGGGACAGGUGGGGCAGAGAAGGUGGGAUUUUUUCUGAUAGUUUCAAUAAGAAAGAUAUAAAAUCAAGGUAUUCGAUCAGAGCUGCAGUUUUCAACACUUGUUACUCACCAGCAUCAACUGGGGAGCAAUUUAAACAAAGACUGGCUGUAUCAGACCAAUUAAAUGAUAAUAUCUGGGAGUGAAGCUCAGGCUGCCGUAUUUUUCAAAAGCUCAGCAGAUGAUACUAGUGUGUAGUAGGGGCUGAGCAUCGCUGGACAAGGUUCUCGCUGCUUAGAGUGUGGUUCAGGGAUCAGCAGCGUCGACCUUGCCUGCAAGUGUCAGAGCCUCACCUGCAAGUGUCAGAGCCUCACCUGCAAGUGUCAGAGCCACAAAACCUCAGGCCCCGCCUCGCCCGAGACCUACUGCAUCAGAGCUGUAUUUUAACAAGAUCCCCUGGUGGUUCACAUGCACACGGACAUUUCAGGAGCACUGGAUUAGAUGACUUCCAAGGUCACUUUCCGCCCUGAGGUAGGUGUCCAAUAAAUGCUAAAUGAAAUAAUGGCACAGUAAUCUGAUGUCCCAGGAAAGUCCUAGGCAGAAAGGCUUCUGGAACCAGGAGCAGCAGGGAUGCCACAAGAGCCCAAAACUGGUUUUUCCCUGACCUAGAAAUCUUGACAAAAGCACACUUGUGCUUACAGGCCAGGAGCAAUUAAUUAGCAGGGUGUCCCUGGCAAGCUUCUGGGGCCAAUGGAAAAGCAUGACGGGAAGUGACACAGAUCAACAGGAAUCAGAGACAGAGAGUAAAAGAGAGAUCUCAGUGACGCUCUAGCAGCAGCUCCAGGAAUCUGGACCUGGAAACUUCCCUUCUGGCACAGAACUGCCAGACCUUUAUUUUGUCAAGAUGCCAAAACAAAACGAAAUGAAGUGAAAAACAAACAACUCGCAUCACCACGAUUUCUUUUUUUUUUUUUUUUUUUUAAAGAAGGGCACUUUCAUGCCAAAUAAAUAAAUAAAGCUCUUGACAUAGC